rnacentral:misc_RNA from 1 species
AGUUUGACACCUCAUCACCACUCCCUAUCACAAUGAAUGCAUUAGAAUGUGAAAACAAGUUAAUGACUUUCGUAGAUUUAUCCUUCUGCCUGCAUUGAAGUGAAGAACAAUCAUAGAAAACAAAAUCUUUUUUAGUUGUCAAAUGUCUCUUUAGAAGCAAGAGAAUUAAGCCUAUUAAUAGGAAAAUGUUGAGAAAGUUCCCAUCACCACCUAACACUAGCAUGAUAUCAAUGUUUUCGCAAAAAGGAGAGAGAGAGAGAGAG